GAGGGUAUAGCUCAGUGGCAGAGCGCAUGACCAGCAUGCACAGGGUCCUGGGUUCAAUCCCUGGUACCUCCU
rnacentral:tRNA from 1 species